rnacentral:rRNA from 1 species
UACGUAGGCAGCGAGCGUUGUUCGGAAUUACUGGGCGUAAAGAGUGUGUAGGCGGUGCUCCAAGUCUGUUGUGAAAUCUCCCGGCUUAACCGGGAGGGUGCGGCGGAAACUGGUGUGCUUGAGGGUGGGAGAGGUAAGCGGAAUUCCUGGUGUAGCGGUGAAAUGCGUAGAUAUCAGGAGGAACACCUGUGGUGUAGACAGCUUACUGGACCACUUCUGACGCUGAGACACGAAAGCGUGGGUAGCAAACAGG